AAAGGGGUGCCUUAAAGGCUGAGAUUAUACCCUCCGAACCUGAAGCGGAUAAUGCCGACGCAGGGAUUGUUGACAUCU
rnacentral:ncRNA from 1 species